rnacentral:sRNA from 1 species
GCCAGGUGCAGUGGUGCACACCUGUAAUCCCAGCAGCUCGGGAGGCUGAGGCAGGAGGAUUGCAAGUUCAAAGCUAGCCUCAGCAACUUAGCAAGGUCCUGAGCAACACAGUAAGACCCAGUCUCUA